GACGAACGCUGGCGGCGUGCUUAACACAUGCAAGUCGAGCGGUAAGGCCCUUUCGGGGUACGACGAGCGGCGAACGGGUGAGUAACACGUGGGUGACCUGCCCUCAGCUCUGGGAUAAGCCUGGGAAACCGGGGUCUAAUACCGGAUAUGACUCCAUGACGCAUGUUGUGGGGUGGAAAGCCUUGUGCGGCUGAGGAUGGGCCCGCGGCCUAUCAGCUUGUUGGUGGGGGNGAUGGCCUACCAAGGCGACGACGGGUAGCCGGCCUGAGAGGGCGACCGGCCACACUGGGACUGAGACACGGCCCAGACUCCUACGGGAGGGCAGCAGUGGGGAAUCUUGCGCAAUGGGCGAAAGCCUGACGCAGCGACG
rnacentral:rRNA from 1 species